GCUCUCCCAGCUCUGCAUGGUCACACUAGGCUUCACUCGUGUGACUUUUGUGAUGUGGAGAGAAAGAAACGAUCUCCUCGGGACCUCGGAUUAGCCUUACAGUGGCUUCUCUUUCCCUGAGGGGUGCAACAGGU
ensembl:snoRNA